rnacentral:rRNA from 1 species
GAUGAACGCUAGCGGCAGGCCUAAUACAUGCAAGUCGAACGGGAUCCAGAUCAAAGCUUGCUUUGGUUUGGUGAGAGUGGCGCACGGGUGCGUAACGCGUGAGCAACCUACCCUUGUCAGGGGGAUAGCCCGGCGAAAGUCGGAUUAAUACCGCAUGACAUCAUUGAGAGGCAUCUUUCGAUGAUCAAAGAUUUAUCGGACAAGGAUGGGCUCGCGUGACAUUAGCUAGUUGGUAAGGUAACGGCUUACCAAGGCUACGAUGUCUAGGGGCUCUGAGAGGAGAAUCCCCCACACUGGUACUGAGACACGGACCAGACUCCUACGGGAGGCAGCAGUAAGGAAUAUUGGUCAAUGGACGGAAGUCUGAACCAGCCAUGCCGCGUGCAGGAAGACGGCCCUAUGGGUUGUAAACUGCUUUUAUACGGGAACAAACGUCGGUACGUGUACCGGUCUGAGUGUACCGUAAGAAUAAGGAUCGGCUAACUCCGU